CCAGACUCCUACGGGAGGCAGCAGUGGGGAAUAUUGCACAAUGGGCGCAAGCCUGAUGCAGCCAUGCCGCGUGUAUGAAGAAGGCCUUCGGGUUGUAGAGUACUUUCAGUCGGGAGGAAGGUGGUAAGGUUAAUAACCUUAUCAAUUGACGUUACCGACAGAAGAAGCACCGGCUAACUCCGUGCCAGCAGCCGCGGUAAUACGGAGGGUGCAAGCGUUAAUCGGAAUUACUGGGCGUAAAGCGCACGCAGGCGGUCGGUCAAGUCGGAUGUGAAAUCCCCGGGCUCAACCGGGGAACUGCAUUCGAAACUGGCAGGCUGGAGUCUUGUAGAGGGGGGUAGAAUUCCAGGUGUAGCGGUGAAAUGCGUAGAGAUCUGGAGGAAUACCGGUGGCGAAGGCGGCCCCCUGGACAAAGACUGACGCUCAGGUGCGAAAGCGUGGGGAGCAAACAGGAUUAGAUACCCCUGUAA
rnacentral:rRNA from 1 species